CCUACGGGUGGCAGCAGUGAGGAAUAUUGGUCAAUGGGCGUAAGCCUGAACCAGCCAAGUCGCGUGAGGGAUGACGGUUCUAUGGAUUGUAAACCUCUUUUAUAAGGGAAUAAAGUGCGGGACGCGUCUCGUUUUGUAUGUAUCUUAUGAAUAAGGAUCGGCUAACUCCGUGCCAGCAGCCGCGGUAAUACGGAGGAUCCGAGCGUUAUCCGGAUUUAUUGGGUUUAAAGGGUGCGUAGGCGGUCUUUUAAGUUAGCGGUGAAAUCCUGUGGCUCAACCAUGGAAUUGCCGUUGAUACUGGGAGGCUUGAGAAUGGUUGAGGUAGGCGGAAUGCGUGGUGUAGCGGUGAAAUGCUUAGAGAUCACACAGAACCCCGAUUGCGAAGGCAGCCUGCCAAGCUAUGACUGACGCUGAUGCACGAAAGCGUGGGGAGCAAACAGGAUUAGAUACUCCUGUAGUC
rnacentral:rRNA from 1 species